rnacentral:misc_RNA from 1 species
GAUGAAGAACGUAGCGAAAUGCGAUAAGUAAUGUGAAUUGCAGAAUUCAGUGAAUCAUCGAAUUUUUGAACGCACCUUGCGCCCCUUGGUAUUCCGAGGAGCAUGCCUGUUUGAGUGUCAGUAAAUUCUCAAACCCUUCCAGCUUUUUGUAGUUGGCUCUGGGUCUUGGAUGUGGAGGUGUUGCAGGCCUUUUUGAGGUCAGCUCCCCUGAAAUGCAUUAGCAGAACCGUUUGCAAUCCAUCACAGGUGUGAUAAUUAUCUACGCCCGUGGGUUGCUCUCUGUCACUGUUCAGCUUACAAUUGUCCCAUUCUUGUGGACCAACUAUUGCUGAUUCUUUGACCUCAAAUCAGGUAGGACUACCCGCUGAACUUAAGCAUAUCAAUAAGCGGAGGA